rnacentral:lncRNA from 1 species
GCAUUUGCUUUCUUCUUUUGUGCUGCAGGUCAGGCAGCAUCUAGGCUCCCCUCUCCCUUUGUGCCAUGAAGGGUGUGAGCCCCACCGAAAUGCUUCUGCAGUACGACUGAUCAGGCCUUCCUCCCCCUCCCCGGCUCUGAGCACUCCUACAUCUCCUCCCAAAGCCACGGAGAAAAACUGAAGCUGAGCUGGCUCUUUGGUCCUGACCAGCUGGAGCAUGAUGGAGCUGGAGUCUUCACAGGGUUUCAGCCAGGUCCGCUGACAUUUGCAGUCGUUGGAUGCUGUCAUCGCUUUGGGAAACUGGAAAGCAAUGCUCGGUGAGGUAGCGGUUUCUGAAAAAUGGAAGAAAGGCCUUGGACAGAUCAAUAGGAUGCUGUAAUAUAUGUCUUAAA